AACUGGACGGAUGAAAACUCGUUAGCCUAGCAACAUUAAAGCUACAACCGUCACUGAGUUUAACCGGCAUACUCGCCCCAUCUGCUGGUGUAAAAGGGAACGACAGGCAGAUUGAAAACAGUUUCAGGGCAGAAAAGCAGCUGUGACAGAGCACUAUAACCUUGGGCAUGGAUGUCAGCCUUACAAUGAUAGAUAAAGCUGCGAGCGGCAAUUUACUGGGUCGAGGCAGUCUGGAAACACUGGGACAUAAGUGGUGAAAGAUGACGCAAACGUUGAAGCCGGAGCCCACUGCAUGCUGGAGCCCUGGGUGAGCACCCAUGCCACCCCAAAGACACAUCCAGACCGUCAGCCUCCAGUCAAGUUGAAGCUGGGUGGAGCUAUGCUGGGAAUUACCUUACAUCACCAAACUGUAUAAGGUAAUAGCAGUGAAAACAGCGUGUCCCACCCUAACCAGAGAGUGAGGGAGCUGUCGAUUAUGCAUAGUCUUUAGAAGAGGUCUAAUUAGGUAUCAUAAGUGAACACACCUGUGUGGGUGGAUUUUGUAUAAGGUUUGUCUCUCAGAUGUGAGGAAAAAACAGUAAUAGGAGACGUUCCCAGCUCUUUUACUGAAGUAAAAGCAGCAAUAUAUCAGUGUAGACAUACUUUGUUUUAAAUAAAAGCCCUAUGUUCAAAAUU